CGCAUCUAUAGUGUUGCGUGGUUGUUGCCUGCAUUCAUUCAUUUGAAAGCAGCGGUAUCCUGAUUCCUGACAUGAAAGCACGUGGUAUAUUUGCUACAAGUCCCACUGGUCGUCCUGUGAACGUAUCAAAAACAUUUUGAAUAAAAACUGUACAUCUGAAAUUGUAUAUAACAUAAUGUUAACAACUAUUGCAGAGCCUACAGAAGGAGUUUAUCACGUUCAAAGGAAUACACAAGCUUUCGUUGCAGAGAAAUGCCUUGGAAAAGGUGUUCUUUAUGUCACUGAAGAGUAAGUUGCAGAACAUGCCCUAAAUAUAAUAAUUCGGUAUUAUGAUGAUUCGGUAUUAUGACAUAUAC